AGAGCAUUUACUCAAACACUUUGCGAGCGCUCUUUCUGUUGUUCUUUUGCUUAGCUUCUUUUGGCAUAAAUCACUUCCGCUGUUCAAUUGGUGCCUUGGAGGAGUUCUUAAAGAAUCCUCAUUGAGAUAAGGCUGACUUGGGCGAGUUUGGAGCAAACGGAUCGCCUAAGGCCGCAUGGAUUACGAGACGAAAGGUCUAGCCCCGUGACAAGUGGUAUCCGAGCCAAGGUUUGAACCAAGUGAUAUCUGAGUUGUUGGUUCAAAGGCACCGUUGGGAUGUCGAAAGAAAAGUUCGAACAAAGGUGGGCGAGGAAGUUUUUGAGGGAAAUGUUGUCAGCUGUUGAAGAACGCGUGGGUAAACUUGAGAAGUCCAUGGAGGACGCCAAAGAGUCAGACAAUGCGCUUGGGGAAAGCAUUGAUGACUUGAGGGAGCAGUCCAGGGACUGUUUGACCAUGGGUCUUACUUCCCAAAGGGAUAGCGUGCAAGAGUUGCUGGAUUCCCAAAGGAAGAAGCUGACAGAGAGGAAUGAUGCUCUCGAGGCCAUGAUGAUGGCUUUGAAGGAGGAAACAAUUGCCACGACGAGGGCUUUGAGCACAAGAAUAGAGGAGCUCGAGGGAGAGCUGGCCUUGUGUCAAGUAGCCGUGGGGAAAGGAGGGUCAAGUGCAGCACUCAGUAAUGAGGAUGUCCCAAAGCCGAAAGAGUUUGCGGGGACAAGAUCUGCAUGCGAUGUGGACAAUUUCUUGUGGAGGAUGGAGCACUACUUCCGUGCCAAAGGCAUCAUGGAUGAUGCGGUUAAGGUAAAUACUGCUUCAAUGUUUCUUACUAACAUUGCGCUUUUAUGGUGGCGACGUAGGACCAUAGAUAAAAGGCAAGGAGAGAUUGGGACGUCGCAGGAGUUCCAAUGCGAAUUGAAGGGACAGUUUUACCCAGAGUUUGCCGAGGAAGAAGCUUCGACAAAGUUACAAGGGAUAACGCAACAAGGCACAGUGGGGGAGUAUGUUCGAGAGUUCAAGGAACUCAUGCUCUAAGUUUCAGAUGUGACCGAUGAAGAAGCAUUGCUUGCUUUUCAAAAGGGAUUGAAGCCGUGGGUCAGACAGGAGGUGGAAGAAAGAGGUGUCCAAAAGCUGUCGGAAGCCAUGAUGGUAGUUGAAUCCAUGGUGAAGCUUGGUCAAGGGAAAGACAAGCUUAGGUCUUCCAAGUCCGAGGGAAGGGGCGUAUGUGAAAUGGAUCACAAGGAAGAUAGUAUAGAUGGCAAUGGCAACGGCGACAAUGGUGGUAAUAGGAAGCUACGAGUUGGGAAGAAGAAACCCAAGAGGAAAAGGGACAAGCUGAAAUGCUUUCUGUGCGACGGUCCACAUAUGUUGAAGAAGUGUCCAAAGAAAUCCGCGCUUAAGGAGAAGCCGGUAGGUAAGGCCGUGGUACUUGGUUCGAGCGCUAGGGGUGUCGAAGCCAAGGAGGCCGAAUGUGAGAAGAAGCCAGUAGAGUGCUUCUUGUGCCAGGGUCCGCAUAGGUUGCGGAAGUGUCCGAAGAAGUCUGUCAUCGAAGGUAACGAUGGAGCAGACAAGGAGCCUAAGAAGUUUGGUUCGAGCAAAGGGAAAAGCCGAAGCCAAGAGGGCAAAGAGGAGCAAAAAGAAGCGAGUAAAGUACUUCUUGUGCUGUGGUCCGCAUGAGUUGCGGAAUUGUCCAAAGCAAGCCGGAGUCAAAGAAAAGGCAACGUCUGAGCUUGGUGAGUUGUCGGAGGGGCUUCCACCCAAGGAAGAGGUGAGUUUGUCAUCGAACUUAGUAGAGAAAGUUGCGAUGAAAACAGGGAAGCUGGGACCAAUGAGGCUCAAGUUGAGUGAAGCGUCAGAGUUGGCCGAGUCAUCGACAAGGCUUCCACCUAUGGGAGAGGUGGGUGGUGCAUCGGAUUUCAAUGAAAAGGAAGCGAUGCAUGUGGGACAGUUGACCAGAGUAAAUGCAACGAGUAGGGCAGCUCGAGUUAAGAAGCGACAAAAGCCGAGGCAAAAGUCCCAAAUAAAGGGAAAGGCUAAGGCGUCGAGACGAGAUUGAGACGAAUCAAGUCAGUACCAUUCAGAAGUCGCAACGAGGGCGUUACGAGAAUGGGUGGGGGAGAAUGUCACGGGCCACAGUUCAAAGCCCGUGACCAUCACACCAAAUGCAUCCAAUGGAGGUCUAUUGCUCAGAUGGAGAUCAUUUGGCCCACGAGAACUGGCCCGAUUCAAUGAGAUAUUGGAGAAGCCUGUCAGAUUGAAGCCUGGUUGGCCCGAUAGCGAAGAGAUGGCAACUUAGGCUAAUAUGGUAACUAAUCUUAGAAGAUAGAGAGAAUCAUAUCUUGUAAAGAUUAGAUUAGAUUUGAUAUGGCAUAUCUUGUAAAUCCCUAAAAUAAAGGGAUAUGGUUAAUCUCGUCCGUCGAUGUAUUUGUAUCUUAACUGUUGGUUUUAGAGGAGCUCAACUAUAAAUAGAGAGCUUCCCCCUCAUUUGUACUCACUCCUGAAUUGUUUCAUUAUUCCUUGUGAAUAAGAGAAGUAGAGAGCAUUUACUCAAACACUUUGCGAGCGCUCUUUCUGUUGUUCUUUUGCUUAGCUUCUUUUGGCAUAAAUCGCUUCCGCUGUUCAAUUGGUGCCUUGGAGGAAUUCUUAAAGAAUCCUCAUUGAGAUAAGGCUGACUUGGGCGAGUUUGGAGCAAACGGAUCGCCUAAGGCCACACGGAUUGCGAGACGAAAGGUCUAGCCCCGUGACAUAAGAAUAUGGUUCCUCAUACCCCCCAACUGAAUUAUUAUCAAGCUUCUCCUCUAAACUACACCAGUAACACCCAAUUUGAUCACUAUCAAACAAACACUGAGAUAAGUAUCAAUAUUUCGGAUGUACGAAGAGUAAACUUUAACCCUCUUCAAAUUAUUUACCUAAUCACUCAAAAAAUGUUUCUGGUUUCAAUAGUUUGGGAAGUCUAAUUGUACCUGGUUGGUAAAAAAGGUGAGAUUCACCGAACAUAAUACCAGCUUCAAGGUAAUAAUAAAGUCCUUACCAACUAGUAUUAAGCUGGUCAUAAAAAUACAGCAAAAUCAUUUCUACAACUAUAAUCUACUAUUGUUUAUAUUAUGCCCUUUACAGGUAGGACACUAGCACCUUUAGGGGGCAAAAAGAAU
rnacentral:lncRNA from 1 species